UAGGCCAGGUGUGGAAGUCCUGCAAGGGAUGAAGCUGACUGGUACUAAUCGGUCGAGGACUUGACCUG
rnacentral:rRNA from 1 species